rnacentral:rRNA from 1 species
UACGUAGGGUGCGAGCGUUGUCCGGAAUUAUUGGGCGUAAAGGGCUCGUAGGCGGUUUGUCGCGUCGGGAGUGAAAACACCGGGCUUAACUCGGUGCUGGCUUUCGAUACGGGCAGACUAGAGGUAUUCAGGGGAGAAUGGAAUUCCCGGUGUAGUGGUGAUAUGCGUAGAUAUCGGGAGGAACACCAGUGGCGAAGGCGGUUCUCUGGGCCUUACCUGACGCUGAGACGCGAAAGCGUGGGGAGCGAACCGG